rnacentral:pre_miRNA from 14 species
GGAAACUUGGAAGCUAUCGUUGGAUCGAGAAAUGGAUGUCCGAUAUUCGUCCACAUCAACAUGAGUUAAAAUUUAACUCUCAUUAAAAUUUUAACUCAUAAGUGAAUCUGCGAGUUAAAUUUUAUCUCUUGGUGACGUGGACGAAUCUUGGACAUCCAUUUCUCGAUCUAACGGUAGUUUCUAAGUUUCC